CCUACGGGAGGCAGCAGUGGGGAAUAUUGCACAAUGGGGGAAACCCUGAUGCAGCGACGCCGCGUGAGUGAAGAAGUAAUUCGUUAUGUAAAGCUCUAUCAGCAGGGAAGAAAAUGACGGUACCUGAGUAAGAAGCCCCGGCUAACUACGUGCCAGCAGCCGCGGUAAUACGUAGGGGGCAAGCGUUAUCCGGAUUUACUGGGUGUAAAGGGAGCGUAGACGGCAGUGCAAGUCUGGAGUGAAAGGCGGGGGCUCAACCCCCGGACUGCUCUGGAAACUGUACGGCUGGAGUGCAGGAGAGGUAAGUGGAAUUCCUAGUGUAGCGGUGAAAUGCGGCGAGAUUAGGAGGAACACCAGUGGCGAAGGCGGCUUACUGGACUGUAACUGACGUUGAGGCUCGAAAGCGUGGGGAGCAAACAGGAUUAGAUACCCGGGUAGUC
rnacentral:rRNA from 1 species